GGGCCCGCACAAGCGGUGGAGCAUGUGGUUUAAUUCGAUGCAACGCGAAGAACCUUACCAGGACUUGACAUACUACGAAUUCUUCUGAGAAGAAGAAGUGCCUUCGGGAACGUAGGUACAGGUGGUGCAUGGCUGUCGUCAGCUCGUGUCGUGAGAUGUUGGUUAAGUCCCGCAACGAGCGCAACCCUUAUUUUUAGUUACUAACUCGUUAGGUUCUCUAGAAAGACUGCCGGUGACAAACCGGAGGAAGGUGAGGAUGACGUCAAGUCAGCAUGCCCCUUAUGUCCUGGCUACACACGUGCUACAAUGGUUAAGACAAAGAGUCGCGAGCUCGCGAGAGU
rnacentral:rRNA from 1 species